rnacentral:rRNA from 1 species
UACGAAGGGGGCUAGCGUUGCUCGGAAUUACUGGGCGUAAAGCGCACGUAGGCGGAUUGUUAAGUCGGGGGUGAAAUCCUGGAGCUCAACUCCAGAACUGCCUUCGAUACUGGCGAUCUCGAGUUUGGGAGAGGUGAGUGGAACUGCGAGUGUAGAGGUGAAAUUCGUAGAUAUUCGCAAGAACACCAGUGGCGAAGGCGGCUCACUGGCCCGAUACUGACGCUGAGGUGCGAAAGCGUGGGGAGCAACAGG